AGACGUCUACAUUAGACUACCCGGUAGUCCCAGCCGUAAACUAUGCGCGUUAGGUGUAUCGGGUGACCACGAGUCACCGAGGUGCCGAAGGGAAACCGUGAAACGUGCCGCCUGGGAAGUACGGUCGCAAGGCUAGAAACUUAAAGGAAUUGGCGGGGAGCACCACAACGGGUGGAGCCUGCGGUUUAAUUGGACUCAACGCCGGGAAGCUCACCGGAUAAGACAGCGGAAUGAUUGCCGGGCUGAAGACUCUGCAUGACUAGCUG
rnacentral:rRNA from 1 species